GAAAUGCGAUAAGUAAUGUGAAUUGCAGAAUUCCGUGAAUCAUCGAAUCUUUGAACGCACAUUGCGCCCCCUGGCAUUCCGGGGGGCAUGCCUGUCCGAGCGUCAUUUCUGCCCUCAAGCCCCCGUGGCCCGGCGUUGGGGAUCUGCCCAGGCAGGCCCCGAAAACCAGUGGCGGACCCGUUACAGGCCCUUCCUUUGCGUAGUAAUACUGCCUCGCAUCGGGAGCCGGCGGGCUUCCAGCCUCUAAACCCCCAGCAAGUCCGCCUCGGCGGCACCAAGGUUGACCUCGGAUCAGGUAGGAAUACCCGCAUCGAUGAAGAAC
rnacentral:misc_RNA from 1 species